GCCCCUCGCCCCCCGCGCUCACACACUAGCUGCCUUCACAGGAAGGGCGCGGCUGUUUGCAUAGAUGAUGAAGCAGAUGGGUUAUCUUGUCCAAAAGAUAAAAAUGCGCAUUUCCCUUCUAAAGUAUGGAACCUCAAGGUCUUGGUGAUAAUGGAAACAAAAAAAUUGAUUGGCAAAUCGCUUCAACCAGCAAGACCUGUUCGUCAUCUGACUUCUCCCUCUGGAGCAGUAUUCCCUUUCAACUUUCAAAAUGAAUAUCCAUGCAACACUCAGUACUUGCAAAGCGGAGUUAGCCGAUGUAAGACGAAUGGAAUGCAGGCCUUUUCUCCGGGCCUCAGCGAGCAAACGCAACAUCAGUCUCCAGUUAAAAAAGAGAGAAUUAAAUACAGCAGAGAUUUCCUGUUGAAGCUCUCCAGUGUUUCCAUCUGCAGGAAAAAACCAGACUUUCUUCCUGAUCAUCCCAUUGUACUUCAAAAACCAGAAAACAACCAAAGUUUUAAGGAGCACUUUAAGAACAGAUGAAUUUGAAGAUAGAUAAUUAUUUGUUUUAUGUUUUGGACACCUGCAAAUGAAGUGGAUCUAGUAACAAUAACUGUAAUGGACUGUGACAAUUCAAUUUAUUUUUAAUUUUGAUGGUUGGGUAUUUGGUUUCUCCUAAAAUGAGAGAGAGAUAUUUUAAACUAUAAAGAAUUUUCUAAUCAGUUUCAGCUUUUCAAGCACUUUCCUAAAUAUAUUAGGAAGAAGCACUCACAAAUAAAAAUGUGGUUAGUGACAUGGGAAGACUGUACUUAUAAUUUGCAUGCUACUUUCAGUUUUUGUUUUUCAUCACUUGUAAUAAUGGAAUGGAAAUACCAGCACUGAGAGGGUCUCUUCAACCUGCGGCUGAGGACGCGUCUGCGCAGGGCAGUCUCAGUGACACGGGGGCAUGUUUAGAUAGUCUUUGCAGAUAGAUGUUUCCAAUAACAUUGUCUAAGGGUCACCGUUACCAGCAAAGGGUGACAAUUUGGAAACAAUAGCAGUGAACAA